rnacentral:rRNA from 1 species
GGAGUAUGGGCCGUGUCUCAGUCCCAUUGUGGCUGAUCAUCCUCUCAAACCAGCUACUGAUCGUCGCCUUGGUGGUCCAUUACACCGCCAACUAGCUAAUCAGAUGCAGACUCAUCCCAGAGCACCGGAGUUUUCACGAAUACUAUCUCAAGUACGCGCAUAUGGGGUAUUAGCAGUCGUUUCCAACUGUUGUCCCCCGCUCUAGGGCAGAUUCUCUACACAUUACUCACCCGUCCGCCGGUCGCCGCCAGAGUAUUGCUACCCCGCGCUGCCCCUCGACUUGCAUGUGUUAAGCCUGCCGCUAGCGUUCAUC